rnacentral:rRNA from 1 species
AUUGAACGCUGGCGGCAUGCUUUACACAUGCAAGUCGAACGGCAGCGCGGGGGCAACCCUGGCGGCGAGUGGCGAACGGGUGAGUAAUAUAUCGGAACGUACCCAGGAGUGGGGGAUAACGUAGCGAAAGUUACGCUAAUACCGCAUACGAUCUACGGAUGAAAGCAGGGGACCGCAAGGCCUUGUGCUCGUGGAGCGGCCGAUAUCUGAUUAGCUAGUUGGUAGGGUAAAGGCCUACCAAGGCAUCGAUCAGUAGCUGGUCUGAGAGGACGACCAGCCACACUGGAACUGAGACACGGUCCAGACUCCUGCGGGAGGCAGCAGUGGGGAAUUUUGGACAAUGGGCGCAAGCCUGAUCCAGCAAUGCCGCGUGAGUGAAGAAGGCCUUCGGGUUGUAAAGCUCU